rnacentral:rRNA from 1 species
UACGUAGGGCGCAAGCGUUGUCCGGAAUUAUUGGGCGUAAAGAGCUCGUAGGCGGUUUGUCACGUCUGCUGUGAAAACUGGAGGCUCAACCUUCAGCCUGCAGUGGGUACGGGCAGACUAGAGUGCGGUAGGGGAGAUUGGAAUUCCUGGUGUAGCGGUGGAAUGCGCAGAUAUCAGGAGGAACACCGAUGGCGAAGGCAGAUCUCUGGGCCGUUACUGACGCUGAGGAGCGAAAGCGUGGGGAGCGAACAGG